rnacentral:pre_miRNA from 1 species
AAAAAGGCAAACAUUAGAUUUUCGUGACAAUGUUUGACUGUCCGUUUUAUAUGAAAUUUUUUUAUAAUUAGUAUUUUUUAUUGUUGUUAGAUGAUAAAACAUGAUUAAUAUUUUAUGUGUGACUUAUUUUUUUAAUUUUUUUUAUAUUUUUUUUUAAAUAAGACGGACGGUUGGAGUACAACAAAUUAUAAAUGAGCUUUGG